GACGAACGCUGGCGGCGUGCCUAACACAUGCAAGUCGAACGGGGUUGAGCCCUUCGGGACUCAACUUAGUGGCGAACGGGUGAGUAACGCGUGAGAAACCUGCCUUUCAGUGGGGGACAACAGUUGGAAACGACUGCUAAUACCGCAUAAUGUAUUUUGGGGGCAUCCCUUUAAUACCAAAGCUUUAUGUGCUGAAAGAUGGUCUCGCGUCUGAUUAGAUAGUUGGUGAGGUAACGGCUCACCAAGUCGACGAUCAGUAGCCGGUCUGAGAGGAUGAACGGCCACAUUGGGACUGAGAUACGGCCCAGACUCCUACGGAGGCAGCAGUGGGGAAUAUUGGGCAAUGGGGAAACCCUGACCCAGCAACGCCGCGUGAAGGAAG
rnacentral:rRNA from 1 species